rnacentral:rRNA from 1 species
AACGAACGCUGGCGGCAGGCUUAACACAUGCAAGUCGAACGGGUGCAGCAAUGCAUCAGUGGCAGACGGGUGAGUAACACGUGGGAACCUUCCUAGGGGUACGGAACAACUCAGGGAAACUUGAGCUAAUACCGUAUACGUCCGUGAGGAGAAAGAUUUAUCGCCCUUAGACGGGCCCGCGUCGGAUUAGCUAGUUGGUGGGGUAACGGCCUACCAAGGCGACGAUCCGUAGCUGAUCUUAGAGGAUGAUCAGCCACACUGGGACUGAGACACGGCCCAGACUCCUACGGGAGGCAGCAGUGGGGAAUCUUGGACAAUGGGGGAAACCCUGAUCCAGCCAUGCCGCGUGAGUGAAGAAGGUCUUCGGAUUGUAAAGCUCUUUUGCCAGGGACGAUAAUGACGGUACCUGGAGAAUAAGCCCCGGCAAACUUCGUGCCAGCCGCCGCCGUAA